UAGUGAGUCUUUAGGAGGCAGUAGAAGGAAGCCACAAAUUUGAAACUACAAUACAAAGGAAAACAAACUUUUCUUCUCUACAAACUUUCAGUGUAUGAGUUCCUAUAGAAAGCAUGUUAUAGUUUGUUGGCAUGAAGAUUUUUUUGUGAGAAAAUUGUUGCACUUGCAAUUUAUCGUUGAUAUCGUAAUGAUAUAAAAAUCAGUUGGCCGAACCUGUUAUAAACAAUAGCCACCAUUUCAUAUCAUAGGCAGUGAGUUAUUUGAAUCAAAUAUGGAUAAGUUAUGUAUAUGUUGUAGAUAAUGUUGUUAUCUCUCGCUCGUUUUAAACGUAUAUAUGAUCAUAACAUACUUAUAAUCAAUUUAUUCUUCUUGAUGGCUUAGCAUUUUAAAUCCCCUCCCAGUUGAUAAUGUUUUUCUUUCCUGAUUCUCGUCAUUCAAAUUCAUGCCUUAAGGUUAAUAAAUACAGGUUGUACAUUAUCUUUAUAGAUAGUCUGCUUUCUUUUGUGUGUUCUCAUUAACUAAGAAAUUCCUCGGCAAUUUAUUUUCUAAAACUGGUCGAACGUGUGAAGGUGUAUUGCUUUCGUUUUGGAAAUAUUGUUUAUACUACUCCUACGCAUGAGUUCUCUCAUGAUUUUUUGAAAGGAAAAAAUAAAAAAAAAGUUUUGGUAUGCCUUGAAUCUUACAAGGAGAAGUCAAUGAUUCUCAAUUUACAAGAACGAUAUGGUAUUGGGAUUAAACAUCUGCAGCAAAUCCAUUUAUUUAUGAGUCUAAUGUUUUCCAUUUCUUUAUGAGUCUAACGUUCAUGGCAGAUAAGAAAUUUGAAGCUCAUGCUUCCUGUGUAGGAAGAAACAUGUUUGAUGUUUGUUAUUUUGCUUACUUAGGAGUAUUGCGUAGAUCAUGAGUAUCUUUUUUUUUUUCAUGAUAUAAGAACCCAUCUGCAUUUUACUACUAGUUCCUGUGUGCACAUUUUUUUUCUCUUUUGUCAGUCACUGCACCUAUUCCAUUUGCAAGAGUACGCAUAUGAUUUUUUUUUUACUGCAUAAAUCACAUUUAAAGUUCAUUUUAGAACCUGGAGAAAUUUCUAGACAUUAGUUCCAUAAUUUUCUUUCAUGUUUAUAAUCUGGAAGACGUUGCUCGUAGAUGCAUGUCUGUUUGAUAGUAGAGUCAGAAUGUUAGGAGCUUAUCUGGUGGCUCUUUUAUUUGUAUUCACACCAUGUCCUAGCUUAGCUUUAGAAUGUAAUUUUAUCCUAGUUAAAGUGGGAGUAUCAUUGUGUAAAUGGCACGGAUUUGUGGAAUAUCCUUGAGCUCUUUCUCUAUUUUUGCGUAAUUUUGAUAUCAAAUCAAGUAUAAAAACGUUCCACUUAUUCUUUUAUCCUUUCUUUCUUUUUUUUUUCAUGUGACAUACUUCGGAGCAAAUGGAGUCUCAAUUCAAGAGUCUCAAAAUGAGACUCGACGUUACCCCUCAUCCGAACAAGGAAUCAGAUUCUUUACUCUCAAGUCAAAUCCACUAGCAAUUAAAAGCCUCUUCCUUUCCUUCAAGCUCUAUUUCUUUUGUAUACAUGUUAUGUUAUCUUUCAUUACUUCAUUUUUUGUCUAUUGUUGUUUAGAAUUGGUGUUUUAAUUGCUUAUGUUUGAACUAGUAUAAGCUUAUAAAAAAUGAAUGACAAACUUAUCUAUUAUCCUCCCCACCCUUUGAUUAGAUAGUAAUUUUAAACUAAUCACUUGGCUUAGACGUAUGACUAGCAUAGUUAAAGAUUAAAAUUUGAUAGGCGAAAGACAUACCUUUUUGAAUAAUUGGGCGAGUUGUUAGAACCCUUCAAUGGUCUAAUAUAGAAUAACAACUUCAUCUUUAGAAUCAAAGUUAGUCUUAACUAAUUAGUAACAUUAAUUUAAUCAAAUAUAGGUUUUGGUGGUAGGAAAAUUUAUUACCGUUAAACUUGAUAGUUGGCUUUACUUUUUUUGGACAUAGUAAUUAAUUUUUUUUCAAAUAAGAGAUGGGAACUAUGCUAAUUUUAUUUCGCGAGACAAUCUUAGGAUUUUUAAUGGCACAAAAACUUAUUUUUGUAAAAUGUAUGUCUUUUCUUGAUAAAAUAAAAUCUCAAGGCACUAGUAAAUUUAGUUAAUUACAUAUCUUCAAAGCUAUCUUUCAAUAAUCUAUUUUUUAUGGUGUAACUAAUUUUGUACUCAUUUAUUUUAUAAAAUUGAUAAAGGAAGGACAAAAGAUUUUUUUUUUAGAAAUACAAAUGAGCUGCUUUUAUAACAUGACUAAUUUGUUAAGACUAUUAGUUAGGAACCUUUGUAAAUCUUUUGUACAAGGUGAUUUGAAAUGACUUUCUUUUAACAACAAUAAAGUUUUGCGUCAUUUUUAAGGACUAUAAAAGCUAUCUUUAUUUAUUUUGCAAACGAGUGGAUUUCUAAUAUUUUAAAUCUUUGUCUUAUAAAUGAUUAACAUAGAUCAUUCUAAAAGGAUAUAUAAUGUCUCACUUAUAUCUUUCUUAAUUUAAUAUCGAUUGCUUUGUCUAAUCUAAGUUUGGUCGGUUAAUCGUAGUUAGCGGAUCCUCUAGGGUGCCUAAUCCCUUUCCUACAGGAUAAUUAGAACCCUACCUAGAAUCACUUAGUUAAGUAGACCAAAAAUAAAGUCUUAAUUUAUUUUAAUCACUUAACUUAUGAUAGGUGUCCUAAUUCACCGUGAAAUUAAUUAGGUGGCAACUACCUUAUUUAACUCAAAAGUUUUUCAAUAUGUUGUACACUAUUUUGACCUGGGUAUAACAAGCACUAUCAAAGAAGGGUCACCCACAUACUUCUUAAAUAUAUACACAUGGAAAAUGGGAUGAAUCGAGGCCAAACUCACUAGUAAGUCUAAUUUAUUAGCAACAUUCUUAAUUCUCCUCAUAAUUUGAUACAGACCAAUGUAACAGGGACCGAGCUUCCCCUUCUUACCAAAUCUCAUGAUUCUUUUCAUAGGAAAAACCUUCAGGAAUACCCAAUGGCCAACUUCAAAUUCCAACUCCUUCCACCUCACUCCGCAUAAGAUUUUUGACAACUUUUAGCAGUCCUAAGUCUUUCUUUAAUUAUUUUCACCUUCUCUAUUGGCUUGGUGAACCAAGUCAGGGCCAAAUAACCUAGUCUCCCCCACCUCAAACCAACUAAUAGGAUACCUUCUUAAUCUACCAUAAAGAGCCUCAAAAUGCGUCAUUUGAAUGCUAAAAUGAUAAAUAAUUUUGUAAGCAAACUCAAUAAGAGGGAAAUGGUCAACCAAACUACCUUUAAGAUCAAUCACACAGGCCAUUAGCAUAUCCUUCCAAGUCUGAAGAGUACAUUCCAUUUGUCCAUCCGUUUGAGGGUGGAAAGCGGUGCUAAGGUUUACUUGGGUACCCAAACCUUUCUGAAACGAACAUAAAAAAUAAGAAAAGAUCUAUGUUUUUCAGUCUGAGAUGAUGG
rnacentral:lncRNA from 1 species